rnacentral:tRNA from 1 species
GGAUAUAGCUCAAUUGGUAGAGUGCUUGCCUCACAUGCACGCCCUGGGUUCAAUCCCCAACACCA